GUGGAGGGCAGCCAGAUUUGAUGGAGGCUAGCCCGAUCAGGUGAAGGAAAGCGCCGACGUCGCCGAUGGGCAGGUACAGUCUCCUCAUCUCUCUCUAUCUUCCUCUCUUUAUCUCCCUCACUCACUCUUCCCUCUCCCCUUUUGCAGAUCUAGUGCUGGCUGGAGCCGCACAGACGAUAGCGGCGAUAGGUGGAACCCUAGGAACCGGCACGAGCGAGGACGACUGAGGUGGCAAGAAAGAGGACGGUGGCACAUGAGCGACCUUCACGAUGUCGACGGUAGCCGUCACAGACCAUGGAAAGGAUGACUUAGAUGAUGGAGGCUCCAGAAACUGAAGCUAGCUAGCUCCAGGACCUAGAUUUUUUUAUUUUUUUGUUAACCGUGGCGGGCCUAGUCUUGUGACCGCCUCCAUUAAAGACCUAUUAAUAGAGGCGGUUGCCUUAUAGCGCCAGCCUCUAUUAAUGUUUUAAUAGAGGGGGGCAGGGGCAACCGCCUCCAUUAAGUCAUAAUUAACCGUGACCUAUCGUUGGAGACGAUUGCCCCAGCCCGCCUCCAUUAACGAAAAACAACCGCCUCCAAUAAAAAAAAUCUCUAGUAGUGGUGUAUACUUCUGUUGGAUAUAUUUGAUCUAGUGUGCUAAUAAUAUAUUUGUUAGUGACUUCUAUGUAUACCUAUUACAAGUUAUUUUGCAUGUUAUAUGUAUCAAAAGUUCCAAACAAUAGUUCAUAGGCACAUGUCAUUUUCAUUUAUCUAGCAGUUUAAGAAUUAAAUACAAAACCCUAUCACUUUCAUUCUAAUUCAUUUUCAUUAUUUGCAAAGGUGUAAUUCUCUUAAGGGACAACAACAUGUGUAUUAGGUGCUCAAUUAGAUCUAACAAAAUCUCGAUGCUGUUUUUGGGUGUGACAUGUGGUUGCAGGGACAAGAUGGUUCAAGCUUUGUCAGUUUCCCCGAGUAAAUAUUUAUGUCAUUCUAAAAAUGGCGAGUUAGUUUACAUCAAAGGUUUUAGAACACGUAUGAUGAUAUGCGGCAUUGGAGAGCAAUAAGUGCACCUUAUUGUUGCCCAAACAUAGUUCAUCUACUUGCAUGAAUGUUGUUCUCACAUGUACAAUAAUAUAAUUGCACAUUAAGUGGCCAAAGAUCAAUUUAGGUGUUGGUCUUUGUGUGUGCAUAAUUCCGAUAAUUCUAUCUACAUGAACAAUUGUCAUACAAAGUCAGGUUAAUUUAUCUAAUGACAAUGAAUUUAAAUUUUUUUUAUAUUUCCAUGAUAGAAAUAGUGUUUUUAAACUGUUAUAUAUAAUUCAAAGUGAACAUUACAACUAAGAUUACCAUCAAUCCCACUAUGCAUAGUCGCAUGGCUGGUCCCACCUAACACAACACACAAUUUUGGAUAUUAUACCAACAUGAUGAUGUUUGUGUGUGUGGUAAUGCUCAAUUAAUCAAGCAUCACACUAUAAGGACGAUUUAUAUCUUCUUACUCUCAAUCUUAGGGCAAAAUAAUUAUCGGGCACAUUUGGAGACUAGUAACACAUUAGAAUCUAGAAAUAUAUAAUUUAUUAUUUCUGAGAAGCCUCAGACAUCAGCCUAAAAACUUCAUUAUUGAAUUACAACUAGUAAGCAAUCUAAAAGAGGGCACCACCAAUGAAGGGUUGUUGGCAGGACGUUGCUGGGUUCGCCAGAGCAAGCUGGAUGAAUGGCAACAACUGUUGUUGUUGAAAGAGGGUGGCGGCAUUAGCCACACCCUGCGGGUAGAACGGCAGCAGCUGUUGUUGUGGCCAGAAGGUGGCAGGACUCACAGCACCUAGCUGGCUGAAUUGUAGUAGUAGUUGUAGCUGCAAAUAGGCAGCAGGGUUCACUGCAGCUAGUUGGUUGAAUGGGAGCAACUGUUGUAGUUGUAAGAGGGUGGCGGCGUUAGCCACACCCUGCGGGUAGAACGGCAGCAGCUGUUGUUGUGGCCAGAAGGCGGCAGGGCUCGCAGCAGCUAGCUGGCUGAAUUGUUGUAGUUGUUGCAGCUGCAAAUAGGCAGCGGGGUUCACUGCAGCCAGUUGGCUGAAUGGAAUAAACUGCUGUUGCUGGGAGUACGCAGCAAGGUUUGCCAACGUUACUUGGUUGAUCGAAGGUAGCACCAGUUGCUGCAGUUGUUGUGCCCUGAUGCUUUGUGCCAACAAAUUCACCAAGGACAACUGCUGCAAUAGGGCCGAUGGUUGUUGGAUGAACAAGGGUGAUGACUGUAAGAUGCUUGCUGCGAUUGCCUGUUGGAGCCCAUAGGGUUGUAGCAUUGGGUUUGCGCACACUGGUGGGAGGUAUGCGGGAUGAGGGGCAGCUAUAGAAAUUUGUGAGCAGUGCGGUUGCGGGAUAUAGGUCGCGGUAGCAGCACUUGCAAAAAGAGCAAGGAGCAUAAUGAGGGAAAAUAUCUUGGCCGCCAUUGUUGCUAUGUUGCUAGUGUAUUCCACUUUCUAUGUUGCUAGUUGGUCUCAAUAAUAUGGGUGAUGGAUUACCUACUGAUCUGGGGGGUAUUUAUACUCAUGUUAAGCCUUGUGGUUGUGCAAGAUUUAUUUUGGCUUUUACCAAAAAACAUAAUAGUAAGAUAAGCUAGAGAUGACGUGGUAUCUAGUUGGUUUUGACAUUUAGUUGCCACUUUGUUGGGUUAUACUUUAUACAUCUGCAAUACAAUCUCCACAAAAUACACUAAAUAAGUGGUUUUGUCCUCUUGGUAUUUUCCAAAUACUUGGGUGACAAUGGCUCGAUCCAUUCACCUUUACACAUGUGUAGCCUUAGCCACAUAUGUGCGGCUUGGUUAGGCUAUUUUGCACCAGAAAAAAAAUUCAUGGUGGUAUUCACCAAUGUUAAUUUGCAUUUGGUUAUUUUGUGCUAUAAUCGGUUCAAGGAGUCACUCGUUCCAUGUCGUACAAUGCGGUUACCACCCAUAACCUACCACAAAUGGAUCAUGUCAACGGCAGUGUUACCUCACAAGAACCAAACAAUCAAAGUAUUUGGGGAACAACAAUAUUCAUUUCCAUUUCACUUUUAUUGACACUCCACUAACCAAACAACACCAUAAUAUCUAUUCCACUUGAUUAUAGUCAAUACCUAAAGAUUGACAAAUACCUAAGUCAUUUUCAACUAACACUAUUACAGAAAGAUCAGCACAACCAGUUUGGAAACCUGCAUCGCCGCCACUUCCAGCACUCGGCAGUGAAUUAUCGACAGUGAUGGCCAUGGUAAUCAUGUCCAGUUAGUAAUUAGUGGUGGUUAUAUGCUAUCACCACCAUUUUGGAGUUCAAUCUAGCUGCGAUAACAUCAAUAUCAUCGCUGAGUUUAUUUUUUGUUCAGGCGUUGAAGAUCCUACAAAUGUUGUCGGGUUUAUAACAAAAUCCAACAAUGAUGGUCAUUUGGUCACCAUCGGUCAGUUGUACACACCGGCAAUGUUGAGAGUUCCUACACCACUGAUCAGUGCUGCAGUCUAUAUAUGACAAGCGUUGAUCACCACAGGUCAGUGGUCACUGUCGGCAGUGAUGAUCAAUUGAUCGACAUCUGUUCAAUUCAUACCCGAUGAUGAUCACUACUACAUCACCAAUGGUAGCUUGAGCUGGUGUCGAUGGCCUUCAUUGAUGGAAUGAUAUUGCAUCUGUGUUUUCACAUUUAUGAAAAAUUCUACUUAAUUAACUCCCUCAACUAUUGUGUGUUAUAUAUCGUGCAGUGUUUGAAGCAACCUUGAUAGGGAGUGCUAUAUGUCUAUUUAUGUUUUAACUUUGUAUGAAUUUUAAGACCCCUAAUUUAUGUUAGGAUAACCAUGUCAUAUAUAAUAUAUAAGUUAACAUUGGUUAUAAUAUGAUAGUGUACAAUAUAAUUAAACUUGUGUCAAAUUAAAUUUGAAAAUACAACAUUGAUAGACUUUUUUCUUCCACUGCAAAGCAAAGGAAUACUUAGAUGUAAAUAUAUCGUAACUAUAAAAAAUGUAUUGUCAGUUAUGAGAUUUGCAUCAAGUAUAGAGGGUCUUGAGUAAUGCUAAUACUAAUAUUAGUAUUAGUUAUAGAUAUAGACAAAUUAAUAAUAAUUAAUUAUAUUAAUUAUUACAUACAGGUUAGAUCCAAAUUUUAUCCUGUUGACGCCAUUUUUGGUAACGAGUCAAGGUAAUCAAAAUGGACCUAUUGGCAGUAAAGAGAUUAUUGCAUUAUGCCGAUAGGAGAGGUGCCGAUGAAGAUCGGCUGAUAGAGAUUGUUGCCGAUGGAAGGUCAUGAUCGGUGGAAAGGUUGUCUUUUAAAUUGAAUUAAAGAGUGUUGAUCAGAGAUGGUGUUUGCCAAUGUCGAUUCAGGGGUCAUUGCCGAUGAAGCCUGUAAUGAUUCAUUGCCGAUGUCGAUGAAGGAGGACAUGAAGACUGCUGCUGAUGAAGCUUGAAAUAACAGGGAACAUGCCGAUGGAGCAGGAGCCGAUGGAGAUUUCAUCGUGAUUGAGGCGGACACGAGAGUAGAUAGAUGUUAUUUUCUAUUUUUUAUAUUUGUUAGGGUAUACCUUACGUAAGAAUCCUGUUUUAUCUUAAAGUCGGAUCCUAGUCGUGUUUGGUUGUAUCUCUUUAGGACAGGGUAUAAAUAUAGACCAGAGGGCAAUGUAAUGAGACAAUCAAUCAAUAUCAAAUCCAAGUUUACUCCUACUUUUGCAUGUACUUACUUUUCGACGACUUCGUCAAUUCACAUAUUUUCUUUUUACGAGUUCUCUUGGUUCGGCGAGUUGCAUUGUUCUAGCGCAAAUCUCGACGAUCCUCGAGUUCCGUGUGAGUACCUCUUGACCGUGACUUUCGGGCGCAUCACUGUUGUCGGGACCAAAGUACUUGAGUUAGACCAAAGUACUUGAGUUAUCAUCCUUAUCGAUUAACAGGUCAAAUCGACUGACACGUCUAGGAUAUCGGAUUGGGUUUUGUGUUUGCAGAUUCACUUUUGCAUCAACAGAUCCCAUUUUCUUCCACAUGUUUUGCAAUCCAUCUUCGGUCUUUUUUCGAUCAUACUUUGGUUGUCAGCAGGACGUGAGUUCGAGUCAUACACGGGAUAAUUAAACCAAUUAUAACUCUAAUCUCUAGUAUAGUUAAACCAACUAGGACUAGUAUAUUCUGAAAAGUGGAAGGACACACAAUAGGAAGAGAAUGUGACAGACGACCAAAAUUUUGUAGAAAACUUUUUCACUCCUUAUAUUAGAUCUCUGUUCCAAACGCUAUGCUAUAAGGUUGGCUCGGGAAUGUAAUCUCCUAGUCUUGUAGGUAGAUUUGUGGCAUGGUGGACACUGCCCCAUAGAGCCCCCACGGCCCACAGAACACAGACACCAGCUUGCCGCAUUCUAUUAAGAUUCCUUGACGCUCGGGAGUAGACAUAGUACAUGAUUAGACCUUAAUAUUCUCACCAAUGUUAAUUUCUGUUUGCUUAAUUUGUGCUAUAGUCAGUUGAAGGAGUCACUCGUUCCUGUGCCAUUCGUUCCUAUGCCAUACAAUGCGAUUACCACCUGCAACCUACCACAAAUGGAUCAUGUCGACGGUAAUGUUAACUCACAAGAACAAAACAAUCAAAGUAUUUCUAAAAAUGGUGAGUUAUUUUACAUCAAAGGUCUGCACUGGAGAGCAAUAAGUGCACCUUAUUGUUGGAAAAAAAGUUCCAUCUACUUGCAUGAAUGCUGUUCUCACAUGUACUAUAAUAGAAUUACAUAUUAGUGGCCAAUGAUCAAUUUAGGCAUUGGUCUUUGUAUGUGCACAAUUCCCAUAAUUCUAUCUACAUGAGCAGUUGUCAUACAAAUUAAGUCAGGUUAAUUUUUCUAAUGCUGAUGAAUUUAAAGUUUUUUAUAUUUCCAUGAUAGAAAUAGUGUUUUUGAUACUUUUUUCUAUAAUUCAAAGCCAAUAUUACAAUUAAGAUUACCAUCAAUCCCACUAUGCACAUUCGGAAUGGCUAGUCCCACAUAACACAGUAUGCAUUUUUGCAAGAUUAUACCAACAUGAUGAUGUUUAUGUGUGGUAAUGCUCAAUUAAUCAAGCAUCACACUAUAAGGUUGAUUUAUAUCUCCUUACUCUCAAUCUUAGUGCAAAAUAAUUAUCGAACACACCAGGAGACAAGUAAGACAUUAGAAUACGGAAGCAUAAUUUAUUAUUUCUGAGAAGCCUCAGACAUGAUAGCCUAAAAACUUCAUUAUUGAACUACAACUAGUAAGAAAUCUAAAAGAGGGCACCACCAAUGAAGGGCUGUUGGCAGGACGUUGCUGGGUUCGCCAGAGCAAGCUGGAUGAAUGGCAGCAACUGUUGUUGCUGAAAGAGGGUGGCGGCAUUAGCCACACCCUGCGGGUAGAAUCGCAGUAGCUGUUGUUGUGGCCAGAAGGUGGCAGGACUCACAGCACCUAGCCGGCUGAAUUGUAGUAGUUGUUGCAGCUGCAAAUAAGCAGCAGGGUUCACUGCAGCCAGUUGGUUGAAUGAGAGCAACUGUUGUAGUUGUAAGAGGGUGGCGGCGUUAGCCACACCCUGCGGGUAGAACGGCAACAGCUGUUGUUGUGGCCAGAAGGCGGCAGGGCUCGCAGCAGCUAGCUGGCUGAAUUGUUGUAGUUGUUGCAGCUGCAAAUAGGCAGCGGGGUUCACUGCAGCCAGUUGGCUGAAUGGAAUAAACUGCUGUUGCUGGGAGUACGCAGCAAGGUUUGCCACCGUUACUUGGUGGAUCGAAGGUAGCACCAGUUGCUGCAGUUGUUGUGCCCUGAUGCUUUGUGCCAACAAAUUCACCAAGGACAACUGCUGCAAUAGGGCCGAUGGUUGUUGGAUGAACAAGGGUGAUGACUGUAAGAUGCUUGCUGCGAUUGCCUGUUGGAGCCCAUAGGGUUGUAGCAUUGGGUUUGCGCACACUGGUGGGAGGUAUGCGGGAUGAGGGGCAGCUAUAGAAAUUUGUGAGCAGUGCGGUUGCGGGAUAUAGGUCGCGGUAGCAGCACUUGCAAAAAGAGCAAGGAGCAUAACGAGGGAAAAUAUCUUGGCCGCCAUUGUUGCUAUGUUGCUAGUGUAUUCCACUUUCUAGGUUGCUAGUUGGUCUCAAUAAUAUGGGUGAUGGAUUACCUACUGAUCUGGGGGGUAUUUAUACUCAUGUUAAGC
rnacentral:lncRNA from 1 species